CCUACGGGUGGCAGCAGUCGAGAAUCAUUCACAAUGGGGGAAACCCUGAUGGGGCGACGCCGCGUGGGGGAAUGAAGGUCUGCGGAUUGUAAACCCCUGUCAUGUGGGAGCAAAGUAAAAAGAUAGUACCACAAGAGGAAGAGACGGCGAACUCUGAGCCAGCAGCCGCGGUAAUACAGAGGUCUCAAGCGUUGGUCGGAACCACUGGGCGUAAAGCGUGCGUAGGCUUUUUCGUAAGUCGUGUGUGAAAGGCGCGGGCUCAACCCGCGGACGGCACCUGAUACUGCGAGACUAGAGUACUGGCGGGGGAACCGGAAUUCUCGGUGUAGCCGU
rnacentral:rRNA from 1 species